CCAUCCUGGAUGCGCCUGGUCUCGUCUGCUCUCGGAAGCUAAGCAGGGUCAGGCCUCGUUAGUACUUGGAUGACAGAAAGCUCUUCUGAUAUUUAUUGAGCAUAUUGGU
rnacentral:rRNA from 1 species